rnacentral:rRNA from 1 species
GAUGAACGCUGGCGGCGUGCCUAAUACAUGCAAGUCGAGCGAACGGACGAGAAGCUUGCUUCUCUGAUGUUAGCGGCGGACGGGUGAGUAACACGUGGAUAACCUACCUAUAAGACUGGGAUAACUUCGGGAAACCGGAGCUAAUACCGGAUAAUAUUUUGAACCGCAUGGUUCAAAAGUGAAAGACGGUCUUGCUGUCACUUAUAGAUGGAUCCGCGCUGCAUUAGCUAGUUGGUAAGGUAACGGCUUACCAAGGCAACGAUGCAUAGCCGACCUGAGAGGGUGAUCGGCCACACUGGAACUGAGACACGGUCCAGACUCCUACGGGAGGCAGCAGUAGGGAAUCUUCCGCAAUGGGCGAAAGCCUGACGGAGCAACGCCGCGUGAGUGAUGAAGGUCUUCGGAUCGUAAAACUCUGUUAUUAGGGAAGAACAUAUGUGUAAGUAACUGUGCACAUCUUGACGGUACCUAAUCAGAAAGCCACGGCUAACUACGUGCCAGCAGCCGCGGUAAUACGUAGGUGGCAAGCGUUAUCCGGAAUUAUUGGGCGUAAAGCGCGCGUAGGCGGUUUUUUAAGUCUGAUGUGAAAGCCCACGGCUCAACCGUGGAGGGUCAUUGGAAACUGGAAAACUUGAGUGCAGAAGAGGAAAGUGGAAUUCCAUGUGUAGCGGUGAAAUGCGCAGAGAUAUGGAGGAACACCAGUGGCGAAGGCGACUUUCUGGUCUGUAACUGACGCUGAUGUGCGAAAGCGUGGGGAUCAAACAGGAUUAGAUACCCUGGUAGUCCACGCCGUAAACGAUGAGUGCUAAGUGUUAGGGGGUUUCCGCCCCUUAGUGCUGCAGCUAACGCAUUAAGCACUCCGCCUGGGGAGUACGACCGCAAGGUUGAAACUCAAAGGAAUUGACGGGGACCCGCACAAGCGGUGGAGCAUGUGGUUUAAUUCGAAGCAACGCGAAGAACCUUACCAAAUCUUGACAUCCUUUGACAACUCUAGAGAUAGAGCUUUCCCCUUCGGGGGACAAAGUGACAGGUGGUGCAUGGUUGUCGCCAGCUCGUGUCGUGAGAUGUUGGGUUAAGUCCCGCAACGAGCGCAACCCUUAAGCUUAGUUGCCAUCAUUAAGUUGGGCACUCUAAGUUGACUGCCGGUGACAAACCGGAGGAAGGUGGGGAUGACGUCAAAUCAUCAUGCCCCUUAUGAUUUGGGCUACACACGUGCUACAAUGGACAAUACAAAGGGCAGCGAAACCGUGAGGUCAAGCAAAUCCCAUAAAGUUGUUCUCAGUUCGGAUUGUAGUCUGCAACUCGACUACAUGAAGCUGGAAUCGCUAGUAAUCGUAGAUCAGCAUGCUACGGUGAAUACGUUCCCGGGUCU